rnacentral:rRNA from 1 species
AUGGAGGGAGCUUCCGGAGAAGGAAACCCUGGCCCCGGCCCUGGCCUGCCACCGCCGGAGUUCGACGGCCUGUUCCCCGAUGUGGGGUGGGAGUUGCUGGGCGAGGCGAGACAGCGUUUCAUCAUCGCGGUCCUGCAUCAAGACGAGGAGGAGAACCGCAUCCAUCCUCCCCGACCUUCUCGGAAGGAGCGCCGCCGCCGCCGUAAGGCCAUCAAGGACCCGAGCAACGACGACGGCCAUGGCUCCAAGUCCGACGACUUGUUCGAACAACCAGGCCCACAAUUUGACAUGUUGUGGUGCGAGAUAGAUGAGUCGACAAGGAGCGGAUUGUCACCGAGUCAAGAUCAAAGAAGCAUAGAAGACAAAGUGUGUCAAGACUAG